AUGGAGCAGAGCUCGAUGCAGCGACGCAGGGGUCGUAGCGGCGCGAUGCAGAGGAAGGGAGGCAGCGGGACCUGGCACGAACGCCGGCGGAGGGGCUUGAGGAGCUCGGGCGCGGCUGGUCGGGAGGAGCAGGAGAAUGCCUCGGGUCGCCGAGGAGGUGAACGGCAGGGAGGCGCGACACUGGACGCCGACUGCAAGGAAGCCCGGGGCAGGGGAAGCAGCAACCAUGGGGACCGGGAGGAGCUCGGCUCUCCUCGGGCGUUGCAGGCUGCUGGUGGAGGAGACGCGCCGGCGUGGGAAGGCUUGGGGCUGUGCUGUUGCUGUGGGCUCGAGGAAGAAGCAGAGUAG
rnacentral:rRNA from 1 species